GGGUUGUGAGGUUAAGCGACUAAGCGUACACGGUGGAUGCCCUGGCAGUCAGAGGCGAUGAAGGACGUGCUAAUCUGCGAUAAGCGUCGGUAAGGUGAUAUGAACCGUUAUAACCGGCGAUUUCCGAAUGGGGAAACCCAGUGUGUUUCGACACACUAUCAUUAACUGAAUCCAUAGGUUAAUGAGGCGAACCGGGGGAACUGAAACAUCUAAGUACCCCGAGGAAAAGAAAUCAACCGAGAUUCCCCCAGUAGCGGCGAGCGAACGGGGAGCAGCCCAGAGCCUGAAUCAGUAUGUGUGUUAGUGGAAGCGUCUGGAAAGGCGCGCGAUACAGGGUGACAGCCCCGUACACAAAAAUGCACAUAUUGUGAGCUCGAUGAGUAGGGCGGGACACGUGGUAUCCUGUCUGAAUAUGGGGGGACCAUCCUCCAAGGCUAAAUACUCCUGACUGACCGAUAGUGAACCAGUACCGUGAGGGAAAGGCGAAAAGAACCCCGGCGAGGGGAGUGAAAAAGAACCUGAAACCGUGUACGUACAAGCAGUGGGAGCACGCUUAGGCGUGUGACUGCGUACCUUUUGUAUAAUGGGUCAGCGACUUAUAUUCUGUAGCAAGGUUAACCGAAUAGGGGAGCCGAAGGGAAACCGAGUCUUAACUGGGCGUUAAGUUGCAGGGUAUAGACCCGAAACCCGGUGAUCUAGCCAUGGGCAGGUUGAAGGUUGGGUAACACUAACUGGAGGACCGAACCGACUAAUGUUGAAAAAUUAGCGGAUGACUUGUGGCUGGGGGUGAAAGGCCAAUCAAACCGGGAGAUAGCUGGUUCUCCCCGAAAGCUAUUUAGGUAGCGCCUCGUGAAUUCAUCUCCGGGGGUAGAGCACUGUUUCGGCAAGGGGGUCAUCCCGACUUACCAACCCGAUGCAAACUGCGAAUACCGGAGAAUGUUAUCACGGGAGACACACGGCGGGUGCUAACGUCCGUCGUGAAGAGGGAAACAACCCAGACCGCCAGCUAAGGUCCCAAAGUCAUGGUUAAGUGGGAAACGAUGUGGGAAGGCCCAGACAGCCAGGAUGUUGGCUUAGAAGCAGCCAUCAUUUAAAGAAAGCGUAAUAGCUCACUGGUCGAGUCGGCCUGCGCGGAAGAUGUAACGGGGCUAAACCAUGCACCGAAGCUGCGGCAGCGACACUAUGUGUUGUUGGGUAGGGGAGCGUUCUGUAAGCCUGUGAAGGUGUGCUGUGAGGCAUGCUGGAGGUAUCAGAAGUGCGAAUGCUGACAUAAGUAACGAUAAAGCGGGUGAAAAGCCCGCUCGCCGGAAGACCAAGGGUUCCUGUCCAACGUUAAUCGGGGCAGGGUGAGUCGACCCCUAAGGCGAGGCCGAAAGGCGUAGUCGAUGGGAAACAGGUUAAUAUUCCUGUACUUGGUGUUACUGCGAAGGGGGGACGGAGAAGGCUAUGUUGGCCGGGCGACGGUUGUCCCGGUUUAAGCGUGUAGGCUGGUUUUCCAGGCAAAUCCGGAAAAUCAAGGCUGAGGCGUGAUGACGAGGCACUACGGUGCUGAAGCAACAAAUGCCCUGCUUCCAGGAAAAGCCUCUAAGCAUCAGGUAACAUCAAAUCGUACCCCAAACCGACACAGGUGGUCAGGUAGAGAAUACCAAGGCGCUUGAGAGAACUCGGGUGAAGGAACUAGGCAAAAUGGUGCCGUAACUUCGGGAGAAGGCACGCUGAUAUGUAGGUGAAGUCCCUCGCGGAUGGAGCUGAAAUCAGUCGAAGAUACCAGCUGGCUGCAACUGUUUAUUAAAAACACAGCACUGUGCAAACACGAAAGUGGACGUAUACGGUGUGACGCCUGCCCGGUGCCGGAAGGUUAAUUGAUGGGGUUAGCCGCAAGGCGAAGCUCUUGAUCGAAGCCCCGGUAAACGGCGGCCGUAACUAUAACGGUCCUAAGGUAGCGAAAUUCCUUGUCGGGUAAGUUCCGACCUGCACGAAUGGCGUAAUGAUGGCCAGGCUGUCUCCACCCGAGACUCAGUGAAAUUGAACUCGCUGUGAAGAUGCAGUGUACCCGCGGCAAGACGGAAAGACCCCGUGAACCUUUACUAUAGCUUGACACUGAACAUUGAGCCUUGAUGUGUAGGAUAGGUGGGAGGCUUUGAAGUGUGGACGCCAGUCUGCAUGGAGCCGACCUUGAAAUACCACCCUUUAAUGUUUGAUGUUCUAACGUUGACCCGUAAUCCGGGUUGCGGACAGUGUCUGGUGGGUAGUUUGACUGGGGCGGUCUCCUCCUAAAGAGUAACGGAGGAGCACGAAGGUUGGCUAAUCCUGGUCGGACAUCAGGAGGUUAGUGCAAUGGCAUAAGCCAGCUUGACUGCGAGCGUGACGGCGCGAGCAGGUGCGAAAAGCAGGUCAUAGUGAUCCGGUGGUUCUGAAUGGAAGGGCCAUCGCUCAACGGAUAAAAGGUACUCCGGGGAUAACAGGCUGAUACCGCCCAAGAGUUCAUAUCGACGGCGGUGUUUGGCACCUCGAUGUCGGCUCAUCACAUCCUGGGGCUGAAGUAGGUCCCAAGGGUAUGGCUGUUCGCCAUUUAAAGUGGUACGCGAGCUGGGUUUAGAACGUCGUGAGACAGUUCGGUCCCUAUCUGCCGUGGGCGCUGGAGAACUGAGGGGGGCUGCUCCUAGUACGAGAGGACCGGAGUGGACGCAUCACUGGUGUUCGGGUUGUCAUGCCAAUGGCACUGCCCGGUAGCUAAAUGCGGAAGAGAUAAGUGCUGAAAGCAUCUAAGCACGAAACUUGCCCCGAGAUGAGUUCUCCCUGACUCCUUGAGAGUCCUGAAGGAACGUUGAAGACGACGACGUUGAUAGGCCGGGUGUGUAAGCGCAGCGAUGCGUUGAGCUAACCGGUACUAAUGAACCGUGAGGCUUAACCUUACAACGCCGAAGGUGUUU
rnacentral:rRNA from 1 species